rnacentral:rRNA from 1 species
AGACUCUGAUCAGCAUGCCGCGUGCAGGAGAAUGCCCUAUGGGUAGUAAACUGCUUUUAUACGGGAAGAAAAAGAGCUACGUGUAGCUUACUGACGGUACCGUAAGAAUAAGGACCGGCUAACUCCGUGCCAGCAGCCGCGGUAAUACGGAGGGUCCGAGCGUUAUCCGGAAUUAUUGGGUUUAAAGGGUCCGUAGGCGGGCCGAUAAGUCAGGGGUGAAAGUCUGCCGCUCAACGGUAGAACUGCCUUUGAUACUGUCGGUCUUGAGUUAUAGUGAAGUUGCCGGAAUAUGUAGUGUAGCGGUGAAAUGCAUAGAUAUUACAUAGAACACCGAUUGGGAAGGCAGA